rnacentral:rRNA from 1 species
GACGAACGCUGGCGGCGUGCCUAACACAUGCAAGUCGAACGGGGUGAUUUUCUUCGGAGGAUCACUUAGUGGCGAACGGGUGAGUAACGCGUGAGAAACCUGCCUUUCAGUGGGGGACAACAGUUGGAAACGACUGCUAAUACCGCAUAACACUUUAGUACCGCAUGGUACAGAAGUCAAAGCUUUAUGUGCUGAGAGAUGGUCUCGCGUCUGAUUAGCUAGAUGGCGGGGUAACGGCCCACCAUGGCGACGAUCAGUAGCCGGUCUGAGAGGAUGAACGGCCACAUUGGGACUGAGAUACGGCCCAGACUCCUACGGGAGGCAGCAGUGGGGAAUAUUGGGCAAUGGGGGAAACCCUGACCCAGCAACGCCGCGUGAAGGAAGAAGGCCUUCGGGUUGUAAACUUCUUUUAGCAGGGACGAAUACGUGACGGUACCUGCAGAAAAGCAACGGCUAACUACGUG